ensembl:lncRNA
AUUUUACUCUUUCCAUUAUCCUGAGCCUGUUUUCCUGAAACCUAAUGACUAACAACCUAUCCUAUAUCACUUACCACUCAAAAAUAAUCAUAAAAUACCAGUAUGCUCUUCAUUUAAACAAAUUAUAAUUUUAAAAUAAUUAUUAAAAAUAUGGUGUAUAUCUAGAAAGAACUAGUGUCAAAGUUUGUGGUCUUAAUUUGUCAAACAAUAACCACUAGACCCCCAGCCUACCCUUUACCUAUUAAAACACACACACACACACACACACACACACACGCACAAACAAACACACACAGAUACUCAGAUGAUGUCUUCAGCCCAGAGGCAUCCACCUGCCCUCAUUUUGGAUGCACUGAUUGGUUCUCACAGAGCAGGUAUACUUGCACCGUACCACAAAAGAUUUCAGAUUUCUCUCCAUAUUAGCAAGUGUGUGUCUCAUAACUUACCUGUAACUUAUUAGCACCUUACACAUCAAACCAGAGAUGCAUCUUCCAGGGACACUGUGCAUCUUUGUAACGCUAUUUUCAGUGACACAGGUAAAAGAAGCUGCUGCAAGCUGUAACAUAACAUCAGUAUCAUCACCAACUGCAUCAUCUCUCCUUGUAAAAUGGAACUAUUUUACAGGAGCGACAAACUAUAUUCUGGAUGUCAGGGCUGUGAAUGCAAACAACACAGCACCUAUCACUAUUACACUCCCUGUGUCCACUGUGGAGCGACUGGUCCAAGGCUUAAGACCGGGACAAAUUUAUCUAGUGACUUUUAAAGUGUUUGUGCUCGAUUAUGUAGCAUGCAUCGACUCCCAGACAGCACAGACAAGUAAGUAAUUGACCCACACUGAUCUUAUUCAAUUUCUGAACUUGUUACAUUUUUAAUUAAAUUAAUUUCAUUUGUACGUGCAGUUCCUGCCACCUCACAAAUAACAUAUUCAAAGGCAAUAUCAAGCACCUCGAUCAGGUUUGAGUGGGCCAGUGCGCAAGGAGCUGACAAAUACAUUUUGGUGGUGAAUGGAACUUUCCAUCCUGAGACUCAUAACCUCACAUUCACCUCGCUAAGUGGACAGAUAGACAACCUGCAGCGAGCCACCUCGUACAGCUGUUACAUUUAUUCCGCCAACUCCGCAGGACUCAGCGCCAAGAGCCUUGUCAGAACCAUAAGAACAUGUAAGUUUACUUAGUUCUUUCCAGUUUUGUGCUAUUUUCAUUACAGCAGCUCUGCUAACCUGUCAAUGUAAUCUUGCCUUUCUAUAAUUGACUAUUAGAAAAUAUUUUUGUUCCACAGUGGUGCAGCCACCAGAUAAUGUGGCUGUGAGUGAGUUAACGCAGAGCUCGGCUCGCGUAACAUGGAACACCGUCUCAGGUGUCCUGCUUUACCAGCUUUCAGUGAUGGCCAAUAACAAGCCGGGAUUUCCCCCGGUUCUUAAGAACGUCACUGGUACCGCUGUGAAUAUCUUAAAGCUGGAGCCGUGUACAACAUACACAAUAGGGGUUGCAUCUAUCAACAUGUUCCUUGAACCAGGAGAGUUCAAUAAUGUCAACUACACAACUUCCAGUAAGUCAAGAAGAAAUAGAACAUUUCAGAGUGAAACCUUUGAAUGAAAUCAUAAAGCAGUAGAU